UACGUAGGGGGCAAGCGUUGUCCGGAUUUAUUGGGCGUAGAGAGCGUGUAGGCGGCCAUGUAGGUCCGUUGUGAAAACUCGAGGCUCAACCUCGAGACGCCGAUGGAAACCAUGUGGCUAGAGUCCGGAAGAGGAGAGUGGAAUUCCUGGUGUAGCGGUGAAAUGCGCAGAUAUCAGGAAGAACACCCGUGGCUAAGGCGGCUCUCUAGUACGGUACUGACGCUGAGACGCGAAAGCGUGGGGAGCGAACGGG
rnacentral:rRNA from 1 species